rnacentral:rRNA from 1 species
AUUGAACGCUGGCGGCAGGCCUAACACAUGCAAGUCGAGCGGAUGACGGGAGCUUGCUCCUUGAUUCAGCGGCGGACGGGUGAGUAAUGCCUAGGAAUCUGCCUGGUAGUGGGGGACAACGUUUCGAAAGGAACGCUAAUACCGCAUACGUCCUACGGGAGAAAGCAGGGGACCUUCGGGCCUUGCGCUAUCAGAUGCGCCUAGGUCGGAUUAGCUAGUAGGUGAGGUAAUGGCUGACCUAGGCGACUAUCCGUAACUGGUCUGAGAGGAUGAUCAGUCACACUGGAACUGAGACACGGUCCAGACUCCUACGGGAGGCAGCAGUGGGGAAUAUUGGACAAGGGACGAAAGCCUGAUCCAGCCAUGCCGCGUGUGUGAAGAAGGUCUCCGGAUUGUAAAGCACUUUAAGUUGGGAGGAAGGGUUGUACGUUAAUACCGUGCAAUUUUGACGUUACCGACAGAAUAAGCACCGGCUAACUCUGUGCCAGCCGCCGCAGUAA